ACAAAGAUAUUAGUAAGUCUUCUGCUUGUUCCAAGUCUACUAAUGAUCCUGAAUUUAGCUCAUGGUAGUUUUCAGCUCAAGAACUAACAAGCUCCAUAGGCCAGAGAUACAACAUGUUCACAGAUAAAUGAAAAGAAGUUAACUUAGAGAAGAAAAAAACAUGAAAAAAUUUGGAGAAGGGAAAAUAAUUUAAGACUUUUCAGAGGAAAUAGACCUGAGAUGAAUAUUGAAGAAGCAGAUUUCAAGGAUUUCAAAAGACUUAGCAUGGAAGGAGAUCAUCUGGUACCAUCACCUCUUUUUAGAGAUGAGGAAACCGGAAUCCAAAGAGAAGCAACAUUUUGCCAAAUUUAUAAAGAAGAAAAUGUCCAAACUUGAGUAGAGGGGAAGGGGAAACUAUGAAGCCACUAUAAGGUAAGUAGUAGUGGAGAAAAUAACUAAGGUGAGUCAUAGGUAUGAGACCUGUGGAGAAGAGAAUAUGGGAAAAAUCAAAAGAAGAUACCUGGGAAACUUAGUGAGGGAUAAAGGAAAGGAUGAUAAAAUAAUUUCCAAUAAAGGAAAGAGAGUAGGUAUUUCAUAGAGACUAGAAAGGAAAAGGAAGGAAGAAGGAAAAAAAAUAUAAGAAAACUAUGUGUAUAUGGGGAGAUAGAUAUCACAGGGAAGGACUAGAGUCGAAUAAUCUGAUGUACUUGAGGCACUGGACUUUUAGAGAAGUUAUGAAAGGUUAUAAAACAAUGUUAACUCAAUACCUGUCUGCCAAUUGACUCUCAGGCACAAUUCAAAUAAAAAUAUCAUCAACAGAACCAGCGAACCAGGUAGCUUGAAAAAAGCUCUCCAGGGGACCUCUUCUUGAAGAAGAUACUGCCACUGAUGUUGCUUACUGAUAACACACCUCCAGAUUCCCUGGCUCUCACAUAUGGGAUAGUGAUCCCAAUAAUCUUCUGAGAGAAAGAGGACCCCAAAAUGAUCUUUUUAUUAGUAAUAAGGAACAGCAAGAUCUUGUUAUCAAUAUCUCAGUCAGACAAGCAAUCUAUACACAUUUCUUAUAAUCCUUUAAUCCCUCUCUCCCACCUUCUUGGGGAAACCAGCUUUUAAAACAGGAUACAUGGAUAAAUUUCAGGGAGUGAAUAAGAAAGGUGGUUUGGAAGAGGUUUAUUAAUGAAUCUGAUAUUAGGUCAGCAUUAAAACUGAAAAAGUGCACUUUUUUUUAAGGUAACCAGAUAUGUGAAUGUGAUCAAUAGCAAUUGAACUAUAAGAAAAAAAAAAAAAAGUAAGUCAAAGAAGCAUGAGAAUCUGUAUGAACUGAUGCACAGUGAAUUAAACAGAACCAGAAGCACACAAGGACAAAAAACAUAAAAAUGAAGAUAACUCAGAAGAUCUUCAAAACUGAUUCAUAAUCACCAGUUUUUUUCUAUCAUGAGAACAGACGAUGAAAUACACAUUUCUCUCCUCUCAUAGAGAAAUGAAGGAUAACAAUUUUGGAAUUCUGUAUAUGCUAUCAUACAUAUUCCCUGUUUUUGUUCUGUUUUACUGCCACUCCUCCCCUCUCCCCCAAAUUCUGUGCUACAAGAAAAGUUUCAAUUUAGAGAAAGGAUCUGGAUGUGUAAUUCCAUUCAGGGUAGAAAAGCCCUCCAUUAGAAUGUAAGUCUUUUGUGCAUAAGAAUUAUUUCAUACUUUCUUAUAUCCCAAUAUAGUAUCCAGAACAUAAUAAAUGCUUAACAAAUA